UAUUGUUUUGUAUUAAAAUAUAUUUUGAAAAUAAUGACCUUACUAAUCACUUAUAGUCUCACUAUAUACGUAGUUUUUAUUUUUUUGUGUGAAUCUUUUUUUUUUUUUAAAUAAAUCCUAAUGAGAAAAUGAUAAUUUGGAUAUUAUGAAGGUUUCAGCAUCUAUUUCUUCUUCCUUUAUAUAAAUAUAUAUAGACUUAUUAAGAUGUCUCAAGGAGAUCUAUGUUUUAAACAUGAAUCUUUCAUACCCUCUUUGGUGAAAAACUAGAUUUCCGUUCUAAAGUUGCACAUG
rnacentral:lncRNA from 1 species